rnacentral:rRNA from 1 species
GCACAAGCGGUGGAGCAUGUGGUUCAAUUCGACGCAACGCGCAGAACCUUACCAGCCCUUGACAUGGGACUCGCCGGGAGCAGAGACGCUCCCUUCGGUUCGGCCGGAGUCCGCACAGGUGCUGCAUGGCUGUCGUCAGCUCGUGUCGUGAGAUGUUGGGUUAAGUCCCGCAACGAGCGCAACCCUUGUCUCCAGUUGCCAUCAGGUUAUGCUGGGCACUUUGGAGAAACUGCCGGUGACAAGCCGGAGGAAGGUGGGGAUGACGUCAAGUCCUCAUGGCCCUUACGGGCUGGGCUACACACGUGCUACAAUGGCGGUGACAAUGGGAUGCGAAGGGGCGACCCGGAGCCGAUCCUGAAAAACCGUCUCAGUUCGGAUUGCACUCUGCAACUCGAGUGCAUGAAGUUGGAAUCGCUAGUAAUCGAGGAUCAGCAUGCCUCGGUGAAUACGUUCCCGGGC